UGGAUGGGUGGGGGGUGGGGGGGAGAGAGAGAAAAACAACAACGGAAGGGGGCACUGGCGGAUUUUGACUUUUGAAAAACUUUGUGGAGUCCCCCGGCCCGAGGUGUUCCCAAGGACAGGAAAUCUCCCCGGGCAGCGCGGGGUGGGGGCGGGGAGGCGCUGUGCGGCAGGGCCGGUCGGAGCCCCCCGCUCCGGGCCGAGGGGGCUCCAAACUUCCCCGAAGAGGAGCCUUCCCCAGCAGGGCUGCCCCGGGGAGGUUUGCCAGCAGGGGCCUGAACUCUGCCUCGCUCCAUAAAUAUAUAUAUAUAUUUUUUUUCCCUCUCAGAGGCGCUCUGCCCUGUAAGCAAAGAGCUUUAGGGCUGCUCUACUCAAUCUAAGCCGCAUAUAUGUUUCUGUGUAUCGCUUAAAGUGUAGAAUUAUGCAAGGAGAAAGGCCUCGGCCCUCACCCUGGGCUGGCGGUAGCCAAAAGCGGCGGCCCGCUCUCCCCUUUGCAUAUGGCGCGUGCAGUAUUUGUAAAUAUUUUCCUCAUCACGUGUAUCCAGCGCCUGGGAGCCCAGGGGAGAACCUGCACUGCGGUCACACCUGCGGAGCAGGUGGGAGCAGAAGGGGCCUGCGCAGCCAGUGGUGCCUGCUGUCCAAAAUCCGCUCCCCAGCUGAAGCGGUGGGGUCCAGGCAGGCAUUUGUCUUUCCCUACAAGUAAACAGAGCUCCAGGUGAGCGCCUGUCCCAGUUCAAGGGGCGCUGAAGGAGCGUGGGUCCCUCACAACCAGCACACAGAAAUUCAGGGCCAGAUUGGGCCUUUAGUUUUCUUUAAGCAGAACUCCUCAUUAAAGUCAGUAAGGAGCUCUGUUUUGAAAUCAAUGGCACAUUAUGGCCCCAAGUGAGCACUUAAGGGAGAACUAUAAUUCCUUUCUAUUCCAUGUACUAACUAACUUCAGGAAAUAAAACAUUUUUUUGAGGAUUUUUUGUUUUUCUUUUUGACUUGAAUGCUGUUUCAGCUUGAAUAUAAAAAGACAGAAAUAGAGCAAGAUGGUUGGUAAGAUUUGUCCUUGGGUCACACUUAUGGGGGGGGAACAGGGGGGGUAGAAAAGAGAUCCCUCGGUUUCAAAUCAAUAAAUAUUGAAAAUUGCCCUCUCUGUGCGGAUGGGCUGGUGGUGCGUCAAUUUCAAUGCAAGGCGAGCAGUGUCUGUCCCCUGUAGCCUUGGGUGCCCCCCCUGCCCCCCAGGCUUGAAGGAGAGCUGCAGCAAGCCCCUGCCUGUGACACUUCGCGUCCCUGCGAUUUCAGCAGCAGGCUCCCAAAGCCGGGAUAACGCGAACGGGCGAGGCUUAAAACAAACAAGCGAUUGAGGGGGCUAAGCCGCUCGCUCGGGCACACGCAGCUAAACCUUCCUUCGCGGGAGAGGGCGGUGGUUUUUAAUCUCGCCUCCAAAUUCCUCCCGAGCGGGGGGUCUCCCCUCGGCGAGGGGCGGGCGGCGGAGUGCGUGCCUUAUGCAUAAACCGGCUAUUAGGCUGAUGCUUCAAGUAACACUAUCCAGCACCAAGCUUGCUUCUUUAGCCUGUACCUGGAAUAGAUGGAGAUCCCAUGCGAUAUGGCUGCAAUUUGUAUUAUACCACCUGUUUGGCUGUUUUUGUGAUGAUGGGGGCUCCCCUCUCCUUUGAGGUAGAGGAAGGGUUUAUGAAUUAAGGCCUUUUUUUUCCUUAUUUACCUGAUUUAAUAUUGCAUGUGUUUUAAUUAUACCUAAAUAAAAGCAUUAACCUAUUUUAUUGUUGAAGUGAUAACUAUUAAUGUGCUAAUAUUACAUUAGUAUUUUAAAAUUAGAAAUAUAGCUUGUUGCAUAUUAAAGGCUCGAGGAUGAAAUGUAGGUUAAAAGAUUUUUAAAAAAUCCUGCUGCUUUUUUAAAAAUCAAUUUAUUGAUCUCUGUAUAGUACCUGUCAAUGCAUUUUGAAUUCAUUUAAUUGUAAAAUAAAAUCUGUAUUAUUAUAAACUGUUUAUGAAAGUUAAUAUAUACAAUGGAUUUUGGUGUGUAAAUAUUACAUGUGGAAUCAGCGUAGUUGCAGACAGUACAGAUCCGGUAAUUGAAUUGUCACUGUUCAGUAGUGGUGGUGUCUUUUUUUUGGGGAGGGGUGGGGGGAGGAGGUGUCUUUUUGUUUUGUUUUUUUUUUUUUAAGUACAACUGUGUCAACAAUUGUUGUAUUCUAGUAGCUGUAUCCCAUGUUGCAGUUUCAAGCUUUUUUUUUUUUUUUUUUUUCUUUCCCCAAAUCUUUAAUAUUAAAUUCUGUGCUUAUUACCUGUCUGCCCAACUGUUACUAUCCAGAGCAGGCCACAAUUGUUCUUGUCAGUUGCCCACUAACUGCAUUUGCUUUCUGGUGGGUGAAAUAUUCUUGCUCAUUUCCAUUUUCAUUUCUGUUGUGCUGCUGUUGAAUUGUGGCAACAUUACAUUUUGAUUAGAGUAACUAGUAUCACUAGCUGAAUGCUACUUACAUUAAAUAGUAAACUGUAAAUCCUUAGAAACAGAAGUUAGUGUAUUUUGUUUGUGUGCAUGCACUGGUGCAUGUGUGUAUAUAUAUAUAUGUUUUUUUGGAAAAUGCAUCCUAUUAAAUGGACGAGAGGAGAGAGUAAAUCCCCUCAAGACUGCAGACAGUCAUGUAUAAUGAAGGUGCAGUCUGAAAAUAAACACAAGAAUUACUGGAUGAACACCUGGUAGAGGAGAAAGGGUCAGAAAAACAGUGGUAAAUUUUAGUGACAUUCAUCUCAACCAGUUUUAAUAACAAAUGUAAAAGGGCUGAAUUUAACCAUGUAUGUUAGAUGUCACUGUUUGCUCAGCUUGCUGUGACAAAUGCAUCUUUUAACAAGGGGCAUUUAUUCAGACAGGUAUUAGUCCCACCUCUUCUUACCAAAUAAUAUUCUAAAAUUAUUUAUUUCAUUUGGGUAUGCAAGCUGGUAUAAAGAUGCUCCUACUUUGUAUAGAUCAUAAGUGGCUAGUACAGUAAUGGUACUGUAUUAAGUCAUAAAUUAAAGAUCUUUAAUGCAUGAAAUUAAUGCUAAAUGUUACAGCAAAGACAGGAAAGCGAAUGUACAAUAUUACAGGAUACUUCUGCACACUUGUACAAAAUUUCCACUGCAGUUAGUGGAAUUUAGCUACUCUUGCAGGUUUGUUUUAGAUAAUCUUAAAAAAAUAAUAAUAAAUAAUGAUUUUACAUUGGAAAAAAAAAAAAAACAACUUUUUAAGUUCAUUCUUUGAAUGAUACUUCCCUCAUAAGUCUAUGAAUGUGUUAUGUGCCUUCCUCAUCUUAUUUUUCAGUUACUACUACUCAGGAAAUAAAACAGCUGGAAAAAUGGACUUCAUAUUUACUGUUGUAAAUAAUCAAGUAAAUUGAUUAAAUACUUCCUUAAAUAUUAUAUGUAUCUAUUGUAAUUUCCCAGUAUCUACUGUACUUCACAAAGAUCCUGCUGUUGGAAUCAGUGAAUUUUAUGCUCAUCUAAGGCCCAAAUUAAAGACACUUCAUAGUUGAGAGUUCUUCAGUUGUGCAAUGUAGUAUGAAACAUGAAGCAGGAAAACCCUAAAUGCAACUGAAGGAGAAGUAAAAAUAAAUACGUGAACGCACUCCCACUUGCUUUCAAAACUGCAGUGCUUUUGAAAUCAUAAUUCUUUUGUAGGCCCUGACUUAUGUGUUCUGAACACUUGGGCUUGGCAAUACUUCAACAGUAAGUGUAGAAAGUUUAGCUAAUUCAUACCCUUUUCUUACACUUAUCAGGCCAAAAAUAUGUGCUGCAUUUCUCAAGUUAUCAUACCUAUAAUGCAGAUUAGGGCCUGAGUGGUGGAAAAUAUUCGGAGGUUCUGAGAAACAUUGGUCUGCAAUGCAGAAGUCACGAAUGUCCUGACAGGCAAAUUUUUGCAUGCUUUUUAAAAACGACAACAACAAAAAAGGUAUUUGCACUUAGUAAAUGACCUAUUUCCAGCAGUUACCUUGUGAUUACCUGUAUGUUUGUGUGAUCUGGUGGAUGGCACACUUCCCCUGCCACCAUAGCUGUGCUUGUUUCCUGAAAUAGCACUAGUGUGAUUCAUGUUUCUGGUUGCAUGUGUGAAAGUUUGAUUGAGAUGCAAAACUGAGAGAGUUCUUUUGAAUGUUAAAAAGGAACUGUGCUCUGAAAUACGGAAACUAUCAGGUUAAAUUUGGCUCAAACUUUAAGGGCUUUUGUAGAGCAAGAAUGAUGGUAUCACACAUUGGUGGGGGAGGUCUAGUUAACGUAAAGCAAAAGCAAGCCUAAUAACUUCAUAAUGUUUUUUAAAGUCUAAGUGAUGAAAUGCUACUAGCGUGAGAGUUCUCAGUAUUGCAGAUCUCCCAGCAAUAUUUGCUCGUCACACAGCACCAUCUCAUCUUUGUAUUUUGACCAAUUCAAAUGGCAGUAAAUGGUAGCUAAAAAUAUGGGGAAAUUUCUCCAAGUAAGCAGUUGCCUUAGUUAACUUUUAUAUAGACAUAAAUGAAAAGAGAAGUAGUUUGAGCAACUUUAAGUAUGUGAACAGACAAUACAUGUGACAAUGUGUGCAUGUCAUUAUAAUACAUGCUGCAGAACCUUACUGAGAACUUGAGUAGUCAGUGAAAGAAAUACCAAUUAAACAACGCUUUAAAUAAAUAACCUAUUGGAAUUGACAAAUACUUAAAAGACAUGAAAAAAAAAUGAAUACCCACAGAUGCACUUCUGAAGGAGAAAAUGUGCUGUUUAGCUAUGGUUCUCAGUCUGUCUGUUGGUGAUCUACUUGUUAUAGACUUGCUUUUACAGACUACUGACAGGUGAGCAGCAUCGCAUUGACUGUUGUGUUGCUCAGACACAAGGAAGUAUUGCUACGUUCAGCUUUAAAAAAAAAAAAAAUCUCAAACAAUGCAUUGGUCAAAUGCUGAUGGAACACCUGACUUGAAAAUUGCACUUAAAACAUUGGACUAAAGCCAUUUAACUACAGUAGUGUCUAACAUAACUGGAAAAAGAAAAAAAGAAAAAAAAAAAGCUAGUGAGAAACAGUUUUUGAGGUUGUUUACAUAUAAUGAGCUAUCAAAUGUAGUCAAGUAUCGGUUCCUGUCACUUGCAGUAAUAUGAUAGUAUUCAAAGCUCUUAGGGGAAUCUAUGACUGUUCUUCUCCACAUAUUACAAAAAAUGGUAAUUAUGCUGAGCUGCUACUAUUUCUGAAAUUUGAACCCUAACAUAAGAUCUGUCUCACCUAGAAUCUUGUUGCAAAUGAAGGAUAACCAAAGACAGUUAGCAAAAAGUAAAAGUUGUAGAGUGUAUAUCUAUCAUCCUAUAUGUUCCACCGAUUUGUAAUGUUGUGGUUUCCAGAGAUACCAAGAGCAAUUAAUGUGCAGAGCUGGGAGAGUCAGGUUCUGAGCUGAGAUGUCCUUAACGUUCUACUCAGGGAUAAGUGAGCACACUCCCCAAAACUUUCUAACCCUUACCAAGAGGCAAAGUGUAGUUUUCAGGUAUUAGGGGUAGCAACAGUGUCAAAAUAUGUUACACGAGCUAAUCUGCUUAGUCUUGCCCUUAUCUAGCUUGUCGGCAGGGUUGAGAAACUGCGCACUGAGGAAGGGUCUCUUUCCUCUCUGAGACUCCCUUGCAUGUGUCACAGAACAAUACAGGAGCUGGAAGAAAUUUGUCAGUCCUGCUGAAGAAGGAAAAAGGGUACAUAGAAACUGUGUGCUCAAGUAAGGGAGUGAGGAAAAAAAUGAUAGUUUUAGGGGGGGGCAAACACCACUCUGGCAUUCUCUCAACAUUGUGACAGGCGACUUCUACUUCAGAUACAUUUCCUUAGAUGUAGUUAUUGCAGCGUUUGUUUCUGUACUUUGGUUGAUUCAGGGAUACGUAGUACUGCACAUGCUUACACUUGAUUUGUAAUCUGAAGGCUUUCUUUAUAGUUUUAAGUAUUUGAUUUCAGUUUCUAGAACACAAAGGUCCAGUGACGUAAGCCAUGUGCUGCACCAGGGACUGUUUGUGGUGUGUUCCCUAACAGUGUAAACAGCAGUGCUGGUGGAAGACUGUUGUGGUGCUCAGAAGCUGCAGUAAAGAAAGCCAUGCAGGUAUUGUAGAUGCUGCCGGGUAUUUCAGAGCUUAGUUUCCAGAAGCUCAAAUUUGGAACUGAAAAAAUGAGGAACGCUUCAUGAGAGGCCACCUUCUCAACACAAGACACUCAGUGCUCAGUGUAAAUCCCCGAUAAAGACAGAAAUAGAAUUUGGGUAUGACCACCAGGAGCAAUUUGCUUUAUCCUCCCAACAUCACCGAGCUCUCCCCUCCCCCCCAAGGCCUGUUUCCUACUCUGUGCCAUGGGUGGGUGCCCAUCCUUCCUGGCCUGGGUGCCAGAAGAGGGAGCACCGAGCACGGUGGAGCCCCAGCCUUCAUUGCACUCCCCACUGCUGCCUCAGGUGGGAGUAACUUUGCAAGGUCCAGUCUGCAGCACUGCAGAUUCCACAGGAGUUUCAGCAAGCCUAGCUUCUGCUAGCUUCUGGCCUUUUUUUUUUUUUUUUUUCUUUCUUUUUUCCUGUGCAUGUGCAGCUUGAGAUUCAAAAGCUUUUUGCUUUAUCAUAAUAUUCAAUCGGAAGACUACCCAAAAGGCAUAUCCCUGAUUCAAAGUCUAUUCCUCCACAAAAUUUCAAAUUCUUUCUUCAAAGUAAAGAAAUCAUAGCCCUUUUCAAGUACAUUACGAGGGCUUUUUCUGUACUUGAGUAGAAAUGGGAAGUUUUUUGUUUUUUUUCCCCAGUUUCAUUCUUAUACUUACCUGGCUCCUUCUUGUUGAAAGUCCCAUUUGAACACACCAGCUUGAGGCAGACACCUGACCUGGAAAACUUCAUCUCAAGUAGUUUUAAGUUCAGAAAAGCUGUUUCUACAGUUCUUCCUAAAAAGGUGUCUUGGAAGCUGAAGCCCUAUUGACGUUUAAUCCUGCAAACAUACCCUAGUAGCCAUUUGGCACCGUUUGCAUUUAUAAUCCAUAUAUACAAUAUGCAGAGUGAUUGCAAAAUAUCUGUACACUGGGCUCAAACAGAAGGAGACAUCUAUCCUGUGAUGUCCUCGGAUCAUUCCAAGAUUAUGCUAAUUACUCAAUAACACUGCCAAGUACAGUGUCAGUAUAUGAAAGGAGGGAAGCAAGUCCUGAUGUGUAAUCCCAGGAGUAAAAAUGUUCCUCACAAGGGUGAUUUUGGUGGUGACUUCCUCAAACGGGCUUAGGACUAUGAGUAACGGAAGCAGUUGUGUAGCACUGGGUAUAUUCACUGGACCUUCGGUAGUAUCUGAACUGUGUCUCUUUGUUAUGCAGAGCUGUGAUCACCACAUUCUGUGCUACCUGUCACUGUGGUUACAGCAUCUCAGUCCAGACUGUCUGGAACAGUUUGAUCAACUAACUGGAUGUCCUGGGAAUAUUCUCAAGGGACUACCCUAGUUUGUUAUAGUCUGGUGGUUUCAUUGCUAACAAAAGCUUAGCCUAGUAAGUACUAUCUGAUACCUUUUUUAUUAUUAUUAUUUGUAUUUAUUUUUUCUUUAAUUAUUAAAAAAAUUGCCUGGUGGAUGGCUAGGGACAAUAAUAUUAAGAGCAUUUUGUCCUCAUUGUGGUGCUACUGAUUUCACUUUGGUGUGAAAGUGAUCGAAGAGCUUUAUGCAGCAGUUUGCUUUAUUGAAGCAGUCCUUGUCCUGUCCCCAUCCCAUCCUAGCAAAAUGUCUGGGAUGUGUCUUGCAGCAAUAUAAUUAGAACACAGAGGGCUGCUCCAUGCUCACAUGCCUCUCACAUGAGGAAAGGAGAAAAAAAAAACAACAAACACAAAACACCAUGGUUGAGGGAGAGGGAAGGCUUUCUAGUUCUGUUUAUAUGGUUUAUGUUUAUAAGCACAGUUCCUGAAGAUUUGAGAUUUUUAUGGCUUAAAGUUAAUAACAUUAUUCUAGUAAAAAGUCUUUGUUAAUAUUCCACAAGGUAUUCAUAAAUUAUCCUGAAUCAAAAGUCUGCUUUGUGAUGCGGUUGUGGUCCCAGGGAAGAUACAGAAGACUUUUUUGGUGUGCUUUUUUGUUUGUUUGUUUGGUUGGUUGUGGUUUUUUGUUUGGUUGUUUUUGUUAGUUUGUUAGUUUGUUUUGUUGUUCUUUGUUUCUACUCAUUUCAGUGGCAAGUUACAGUUCCUUGGUAUAGAAGCCGUUUCUCAGUAUAGAAGAAGCUGACUUCUUCUGCAUCCCUGCAAGUGGUUCAUUGCCAGCUGAAGAGAAACAGACAGUAUUCAAACAAAUCCAUUUCAGCACCUUCAGUAUUCUUUAACAUGUUUUCAUGGAAAGUGCGGGGAUGUGAUGUUUGCAACAGAUCUUCCCCUGCCCUGGUAGAUGGCAAAACCCCACUACAAAUGAUAUGCUGUGCAAUCAUUGUGGCCUUCUAAAAAGCUGUCUGGAAGACCAUAGCUCUCCAGCCUGUGUGCCACGGAACACUGCACUUCAUCCAAAGAUUUAACAUUUGUAGUCUGCAGUCCUUGGAGUUGGAGGGAAGUGGAACCUAAAUAUCCAUGGAGCACCGUGUUUGAUGGGUUUUUUAAAGACUGAGAUUUGGAAAUAAGAUUAUCUCCUUCAGCUCUUCAUUCAUAAUUUUUAAGUUGUAUACAUAUAUGAAAUAAAUUCCACGCCUGAA